CUUUUUCAGUUCCCUUUGGUGUUAGCCGGACACUAGUAUGCGUGAGUCCUGUUCCAGAGAGCUUCCUGGGAACUAUUGCCACCCCAGUUUCGUGUGAUGGGGCCAUUUAAUAUGCAGCGGAGAAACAGUGCUACAAAGAAAAUAAGAUAAGAUGAUGAAGCGACUGAGGACCCGAGAGGUCAAGUGACUCAGCCAAGGUCACACGGCAAGCCAGAGGCAAAGCUGGAGCUCAAAUUCCUGAUCCCCCAACUCUGUCCCGUGCUCUUCCCGUUGGGCUACACUGCCUCAUCUCUCCCAAUCAACUCCUAAGGGAAUCCAGGUCAUCCAUUCAUGCAGUUUAUAAGCCCCUUCAAUUGAACUCUCAAAACCACUUAGUACAGUGUUCGGAGCGCUCAAUAAAUCCGACCGCGCGAUUGCAAGAUGGCGUCACACUGGCACUGUCCCGAGGAGAUUGGAAGCCCGAGGUAGAAAGGAUUCCUCGCCUCUUCUGGGAGCCGGGAGCUCUGCUCUGGGAAUUUCCUAUCCCGCUUGAAGCAUGCCAACGCAUUUUGCCUUCAGUCAACUCUACCCCUUCGUUAGAUCCCGUGAAGUUGAAACGUCGCUGAACCGUGAAUUCGCGAUAUCCCGGUAGAACGACACAUCAUCCGAGCCGAAGUUGAGGGUUUCAAGCCUCGACUUCGCUGAAUUUUGAGAUACCCCGCUAUUUGUGCUCUAUACCUUGGAAUUACAGUGUAUAAUUCCAGUAAAGUCUAACAUAUCUGAAUGUUUACAAGUGCUUAUCCCUUAGGGAAAUAUAUAUAGUGUUCAUUUCUUUUGUUUAGUCUAUUUAAAGUAGGACUAGAUAAAAGAAGGAGUGAUUGACAAAUUAAUGCUCUCAGCUCCUACUCGAAAGUACUUGAAUUAUUAGUACAAAAAGCAUGUUAUAAACUAUAAUAAUUUUAACUCCAUUUCAUUGCUAAAAGCUAGUAAUAAUGAAAACAAAUGAAAAUAGCUGUGCAGUCAAACUCAGGCAAGAAUGGAAGCAGCGGUGAAGUUGGGGACUGUGCUAUAAGGUAAUUAGUUUCAUUAAAAAUCAAGAAAGGGUGA